CUGAUAUAUACAAGCUGUGGGAAACAUAUCGACAGCGUGUUGACGGGGUUUCUUCUGAACUGUCACCAUUGUAUAUCGACAAGCUAUGAGUCACGUGCUGUUAAGGUGAGGGCAGCGUCAAAAGGUUGCCCCAGCCGGAAUGCACGCUCCGCUGCUGAACGGUCAUCAAAGGACAAAGUGCAAUUGGACUAAACAUUUCGAAACCUAAAGGUUGGCAGAAUUCUUACGCAUGACGAAAGUCAGGAAUCUGCAACAUCCAUCGCAGACAGAGGUGCGGCUCAACUCGGGGGCAAAGCUACGCCGCAAAAACAGUCACGUGACUUCGUGGGAGCUGGAAGCGUGCCAGCUGCAUGAAGUGAAUGACUCCGCGAGUGUACAAAGACCGUAAAUAUGGCCAACUGCUUGAGACACACACCACGUGAAGUACUAGUCGAGUAAUUAAAGCAAUAAAUGACGCCUUAUCGCUAAGCUAUCACGUUUCAUAGGUGGAGUUUGACCGAUAACCUUUCAGGUGCUAAUUGCUACCUACAUGAACUCAUUAGGAACCUAUGUUUUAAUGAACAUGUUAAUGAGCUGUAUAGAAACCAGGUUGUAUACCCUAUUACUGGUAAGUGCCGUUAGGCGACUGCCAGUGCAUUUGAAAUGGUAGGUUGGUUCGAAAAGGCGGUUGGUUUGUGUG